GUUACUUGACGUAGACCCGAAACCGGGCGACCUACCCAUGAGCAGGAUGAAGCGAAAGUAAAAUUUCGUGGAGGUCCGAACCCACGAGCGUUGAAAAGCUCGGGGAUGACUUGUGGGUAGCGGUGAAAUUCCAAUCGAGCCCGGAGAUAGCUGGUUCUCCCCGAAAUAGCUUUAGGGCUAGCCUCAAGGUGAGAGAUACGGAGGUAGAGCACUGAAUGUCCUAGGGGGUAUUGCACCUACCGAAGACUAUCAAACUCCGAAUGCCGUCAUCUUAUACUUGGGAGUCAGACUGUGGGUGAUAAGAUUCAUAGUCGAAAGGGCAACAGCCCAGAUCGUCAGCUAAGGUCCCUAAAUGUAAGUUAAGUGGUAAAGGAUGUGGGAUUGCACAGACAACCAGGAUGUUGGCUUAGAAGCAGCCACUCAUUCAAAGAGUGCGUAAUAGCUCACUGGUCGAGUGAUCCUGCGCCGAAGAUUUCCGGGGCUAAAACUUACUACCGAAGCUACGGCAUCAGUAAUGAUGGGUAGGGGAGCUUCCCAUACGGGUUGAAGCAUGACCGUAAGGACAUGUGGACAGUAUGGGAGUGAGAAUGUUGGCAUGAGUAGCGAGAUGUGGGUGAGAAUCCCACAGGCCGUAAACCCAAGGUUUCCAGGGGAAGGUUCGUCCGCCCUGGGUUAGUCGGGACCUAAGCUGAGGCCGAAAGGCGUAGGUGAUGGACAACAGGUUG
rnacentral:rRNA from 1 species